CCUACGGGUGGCAGCAGUGAGGAAUAUUGGUCAAUGGGCGCGAGCCUGACCCAGCCAAGUCGCGUGAAGGAUGACUGCCCUACGGGUUGUAAACUUCUUUUAUAAAGGAAUAAAGUGAGGCACGUGUGCCUUUUUGUAUGUACUUUAUGAAUAAGGAUCGCCUAACUCCGUGCCAGCAGCCGCGGUAAUACGGAGGAUCCGAGCGUUAUCCGGAUUUAUUGGGUUUAAAGGGAGCGUAGAUGGGUUGUUAAGUCAGUUGUGAAAGUUUGCGGCUCAACCGUAGAAUUGCAAUUGAUACUGGCAGACUUGAGUACAGUUGAGGUAGGCGGAAUUCGUGGUGUAGCGGUGAAAUGCUUAGAUAUCACGAAGAACUCCGAUUGCGAAGGCAGCUUACUAAACUGCCACUGACAUUGAGGCGCGAAAGUGUGGGUAUCAAACAGGAUUAGAUACCCGGGUAGUC
rnacentral:rRNA from 1 species